rnacentral:rRNA from 1 species
AGUCGUAACAAGGUUUCCGUAGGUGAACCUGCGGAAGGAUCAUUAAAGAGUAAGGGUGCUCAGCGCCCGACCUCCAACCCUUUGUUGUUAAAACUACCUUGUUGCUUUGGCGGGACCGCUCGGUCUCGAGCCGCUGGGGAUUCGUCCCAGGCGAGCGCCCGCCAGAGUUAAACCAAACUCUUGUUAUUUAACCGGUCGUCUGAGUUAAAAUUUUGAAUAAAUCAAAACUUUCAACAACGGAUCUCUUGGUUCUCGCAUCGAUGAAGAACGCAGCGAAAUGCGAUAAGUAAUGUGAAUUGCAGAAUUCAGUGAAUCAUCGAAUCUUUGAACGCACAUUGCGCCCCUUGGUAUUCCGAGGGGCAUGCCUGUUCGAGCGUCAUUACACCACUCAAGCUAUGCUUGGUAUUGGGUGCCGUCCUUAGUUGGGCGCGCCUUAAAGACCUCGGCGAGGCCUCACCGGCUUUAGGCGUAGUAGAAUUUAUUCGAACGUCUGUCAAAGGAGAGGACUUCUGCCGACUGAAACCUUUAUUUUUCUAGGUUGACCUCGGAUCAGGUAGGGAUACCCGCUGAACUUAAGCAUAUUAAAAGUCG